rnacentral:lncRNA from 1 species
GUUCUUCGUGGACCGGUCAAAUUUCUCUGCGGACCGGUGCCGGUCCGCCAGACCAGUGGUUGAGAAACACUGUUCUAUAGUAUGAUUUUUAUAUAGAUCAAGAAUUUGAUUUUGGAUAAUUGAAUCAUAAAUCAGUCAUAUUUGUGUUUGUGCUGGAAUUGAUAGCAUUGAUUUCUAUAGAAAAAUGGUUCUGAUUUUGGCAAUUUUGAGAUUAUCAUUAAAAACUUUUAAGAACAAAUUAAUAAUAUGCUGGUGUUUAAAAUAUUAAGUUAUAUUUCAGUAGUAAUUAUGCUGAACUAUGCUGGAUUAUGCUGCUAUUUAGUGAAGUGCUCUCGGUGCAAAACGGUUUUCAGCACUAUAAACUAUAGGAUCAAAUAUAUAAAUUUAAUGGACUAUCAUUAUUAUUCUCAAAAUUCCUUAGAGUUUAACAUAAUAACGAUAUUCCAUUAAAUUCAUAUAUGCAAACCAUUACUGGCACUGGGGCGGGAUUGAGUUUUUUUUAUAAAAAAAACACAGUACACAAUGGGUGAAGAAGUGCUUUCGAUUUUGGUAAAUCAUCCUCAGCUUCACUGGUGAACAGAACAACAAAAUUUUUUUGUUGUUCUGUUCAUUGGUGGGGCUGAUGAUUAUUUGUU